CCUACGGGAGGCAGCAGUGGGGAAUAUUGGACAAUGGGGGGAACCCUGAUCCAGCGACGCCGCGUGAGUGAAGAAGUAUUUCGGUAUGUAAAGCUCUAUCAGCAGGGAAGAAAAUGACGGUACCUGACUAAGGAGCCCAGGCUAACUACGUGCCAGCAGUCGCGGGAUUACGUCGGGGGCAAGCGUUAUCAGGCUUUACUGGGUGUAAAGGGAGCGUAGACGGUACAGCAAGUCAGAUGUGAAAGGUCGGGGCGCAACCCCGGGACUGCAUUGGAUACUGUUGAACUAGAGUACAGGAGGGGUAAGCGGAAUUCCUAGUGUAGCGGUGAAAUGCUUAGAUAUCAGGAAGAACACCGAUUGCGAAGGCAGCUUACUAAACUGCAACUGACAUUGAGGCUCGAAAGUGUGGGUAGCAAACAGGAUUAGAUACCCUGGUAGUC
rnacentral:rRNA from 1 species